UCUUGAUGACUCCUAAGGUUAUUUCCUUAGCUCAUCAAGAUAGCAAUUUCCUGGCCUGGAGGGAUGGCUCAGCUGUUAAAGGCUAGGCUCACAACCAAAAAUAUA
rnacentral:miRNA from 1 species